GGUUAUAGCUCAGUGGUAGAGCGCUCACCUACCAUGUGCGAGGCCCUGGGUUCGAUCCUCAGCACCA
rnacentral:tRNA from 1 species